GACUAGAGUUUGAUCCUGGCUCAGAACGAACGCUGGCGGCAGGCCUAACACAUGCAAGUCGAACGAUAUAGUGGCAGACGGGUGAGUAACGCGUGGGAACGUACCUUUCACUACGGAAUAGCUCUGGGAAACUGGUGGUAAUACCGUAUACGCCCUCCGGGGGAAAGAUUUAUCGGUGAAAGAUCGGCCCGCGUUGGAUUAGCUAGUUGGUGAGGUAAUGGCUCACAAAGGCGACGAUCCAUAGCUGGUCUGAGAGGAUGAUCAGCCACACUGGGACUGAGACACGGCCCAGACUCCUACGGGAGGCAGCAGUGGGGAAUCUUGCACAAUGGGCGAAAGCCUGAUGCAGCCAUGCCGCGUGAAUGAUGAAGGCCUUAGGGUUGUAAAAUUCUUUCGUCAGGGAUGAUAAUGACCGUACCUGAAGAAGAAGCCCCGGCUAACUUC
rnacentral:rRNA from 1 species